rnacentral:misc_RNA from 1 species
GAUGAAGAACGUAGCGAAAUGCGAUAAGUAAUGUGAAUUGCAGAAUUCAGUGAAUCAUCGAAUCUUUGAACGCACAUUGCGCCCGCCAGCAUUCUGGCGAGCAUGCCUGUUCGAGCGUCAUUUCAACCAUCAAGCCCCAGGCUUGUGUUGGAGCCCUGCGGCUGCCGCAGCCUCCCAAAACCAGUAGCGGGCUCGCUAUCACACCGAGUGCAGUAGUUUACUCUUCGCUCAGGGCGUGUGGCGGGUGCUAGCCGUGAAACCCCCAACUUCUCAAGGUUGACCUCGGAUCAGGUAGGAAUACCCGCUGAACUUAAGCAUAUCAAUAAGCGGAGGA